UUUCAGGUUCUUCAGUGGUGGUGUGCUGCUCUUCGCUUAGAGAACUAGGAGAGGGGACCGCCAUCUGCUGCCAGCUGGAGCCAGGGCACUGGCUGUCUCCGGUUGGUGGUGGGGAUGGAGCGGUCGAAGGGUGGCCUGCAGUGGGAGCUUUUCCUGCCGGGCAGGAGGAAGAGUAGAAGGGAGAGGCACGGACGCAUGCUGGAGGCUGGAGCUUGCGCCACCGCAGCUCGCCUCGCUGCGGUUGGUGGUGAUGUCGGACACUGCAGGUCUUCCAGAGUGGUAGACGUGCCGUUGGGUAGGCUUUUCUGGCUUUGCCCUCCCAGCUGCUCCAAGCCAGGAUGGAGGAGGAGGACAAGGAAGAGUCACCUGUGGUAAACUGGAGCCUGCAUAUGGCUCUGCAGCUGGUCUCACGAGAUUGGUGGCAGCGACGGAGACUGCAGCUCGACUGGAGUGAAUUAUCAGGAGCCACCAGGUGCUGCAGCAGCUUUGGGAUAACUUGAGGGCGCAUCCUGGGGAAGAAACACCUCCUGUCCAUGGUGCUAACUGCUGAGGACAGUGCUUCGGCGUGGCUUCUCCGUGGCCCAGCUUCUUUGGGGCGUUUUUCUUUCAUGGUUCAUCCAUAUGGCUCCAAAUGAAAAUUACAUUAAUUAUGGAUGAAGAGUAUUGUGUUGUGCAGAUAUACUGCAGUUUCUUCAUCCCUUCAUCUAUGGAUGGACAGGUUCCACAGUGUUGCCACGGAUGACCUGAUUUCAGUAC
rnacentral:lncRNA from 1 species